UAAACUGCGGAAGGUUCUAAGUUAUAUCAUCAGACUCAGACUACAACAGACCACUGACUGCUCACUGCUGUAGAUCAUUCAGCAAGCAGCCUGGAAACUCCAGAGACAAGUUCCACAUCAUAGUUUACACGUCAUUAAGAUUCUAACUCCUAUAGCUUUUAAUAGACCGACCAAGCGACAGACUUCAUUCAUAAUGCAUGAAUGAAAUGAUAGUCAUUGCCCGGGACUAAACUAACUGGGGCAUGUUAUCUAAUGUUGACUAAACCAUCAGAAACAGGGAGGGACUAACCUGAACUUGUCAAGUGAGAAACGCUUAUUCUAAUUGCAAAAAAAUGUUGCACUAAUUGAAUACACACCAAGAAAGUAUGAAACGGCAUUCCUGCUGGUGACAACUACAAAAAAAACUAUUUUCAGGAGCCAAACGCUGUCGAAUGUUGCCGAUAGAAAUGUCAAGAAUAGAUGUGAUUCCUUCUGCUAAAUGUCAGAGGCAUGUUUGUCCUACAUCGGUUAUUUUAUAUCUGUUCAAAAACGUUGCGUCUUGCUGAACCGCCCCCAAAACAGUUUUUAUAUACGGAAGUAUAAGUGAAAGUAAAAUAGGUAUAGGGAAACACACACGGUCACUGUAGCAGCAGACAACUAGUAGAUUUAAUUGUCUAUAGGAAAUGCCAAAACAUUAGCAUACAGUCUAGUUUGAUGUGUUUCCUAAUAUCCUUUCAGGUGGUAUUACUAUCAUCCAGUGAUCCACAUAACAUGAGGAUGAACCCUGCUAUUCUCCACUCAGGCGGAGAGAGAAAGACGAGUAAACGAUAAGAUCCUGCGUUUUUGGUCAUGUAGGAAAACCAUGUCAAAUGAACGUUCAGAAGAAUAACCAAAGGCACAAUGGCAACCACUAAACGGACUGCUGUGAACUAUGUCACAGAUCGCAAACUGGACCUUAUCAGAUUGCUCAAGGAUCUGACACUUAUUGUUGACAACCUUCAGCAGCAGAGAGUUUUCCUCAAUGAGGAAGUGGAAGUUAUUAAUAGUAAGGAGACAAGAAGUGACAAAGCCAGAGAAAUACUGGACAGAGUCGUUAAAAAGGGAGAAGCUGCAUGCUACAAGUUACUGGAGAUUCUGUACAUUACGAGACAGAGGACAUUACUGGAGCCUUCCUCUGAUUCAAAGGACAGACGGCAGCAUGACCUGUACCACUGGAUCAGCUGCUUCCCAUUCAAGGAAGACCAAGAGGUGGACACUGACAUCUUUGAAGGCUCAAUAGCCUGUCACAGAUAUCAGACACAGCUGAAAUGUAAAGCACGGAAGAUCACAGAGGGUGCAUGGAAACAAAGCUGUAGUCUCCUACCAGAGAGAUGUAGAACUGAGGGGACUUUCUCUUACACCCCAAUUGUGUUAGAUACAGACGUGCAUUCAUCUCUCUCUAAAAUUAAAGUGAAGAGCAAAAGAUGCAAGAAAGCUCGGCC